UUUUCUUUUAUGUUUUAUCACUCUAUUGGGUCGUGGUUGUCUGGAUGCUGGAAUAUUUGCUUUAUAUAUAAAGCGGGACGAAAGCCUGUUUCGAGGGCAGAAUCCACAUCGCAAGUCCUAGUGAUCUGGGCAGCACGGCAUCACGGUGCACCAAUAAGUCCAAGUCCAGUCACAAAGAUUCCCACCCGCCUCCAAACAACGAGGGGACUUCUCGGACGAUUUACGAGCCGAAGUCCGCUCGCAUGCCGCAUGACCGGAUGUGCCACGCGGCCCACCCUCGUACGAUACUUUGGUGGAGAGGUCAGCUUGACUACUACGAGCUGACGUUCACCAAGUAUGUUCAAGCAACCAGCUUUAACGAUGCGCGUUAUACCAUUGACGUCAUCCGGUCAGCAACUACGGGUCCAUCCAUGAAGUAUCUUCCUUCUUCUUAGAUAAGAUCAUUGGUCAUCCAUUCUCGUUGAACAUGAAGAUAAUCAAUUGUGACAAGUACGAAAACAACAUGGACCCCAUGAUCUGGAUCUCAGAUUACAUCCUCACAAUCCAGGCCCUUAAGGGCUCGUUUGGUUAAGGGGGAUUGGGGAGGAUUUGAGAGGAAAAUCCUCGGGGGGUCCAGAAACCCCACAGAUCCUCACGCGCCCAUUUGGUAGGAGGGGUUUGAUUAGCCCAAUCCCCUCUGGUCCCCUUCAAUCCCUUCCUAUCCAUGUGUUUCAAAACCCUCCUCGGGGGACUAGUGGAAGCAAAACCCCGGGGAUUUGAGAGGAUUGGGUGAAACAAAGGGAUUCACCCAAUCCCGUGAAAUCCCCCCUCUCAAAUCCUCCCCAAUCCCCCUUAACCAAACGAGGCCUAAUGAUGAUGACUAUCACGCAGGGAAGCAUCUUCCCCUGAUGCUGGAAGGAUCAGCACAAGGCAUAGCUUCACACCGUGCCACCCGACUCGAUUAGAAGUUGGGAUAAGUUUUAGGUUCAGUUGAUGGAAAAUUUCUGUGGUACUUAUGUCCGGCCUGCCGAUACAAGUGACUGAGCAUCAUGAAGCAAGGGAAGAACGAAUCAGUAGAUAGGUGACUCGAUUCCUGAAAAAUAAGAACCAGAUCUUUGUGUAAAACAACGUCGAGGCAUUGCCACAUUUAAGCACAACUCUGUUGAUGAGUUCCUCUCCAAGGACUUGGGUCACUUCAAAACCAAGACAGUGCUAGAGCUCAUGGAGAUGAUGACCAUAUUUUGUGCUGGUGACAGGGACAAUUCUAGGGGGGACGAGGGGGGGGGGCUGGACCCCCCCUAACAAAUUAAUUUUUCUACUAUAAUAGUGAUUGUUGUAGCCGAAAAAUUUCAUUUCAUAUGAACUUUGCCCCCUUCAUGUACAGACUUGCCCCCCUAUGCUUGCAUGUUAGCUUCGUCCCUGGCUGGUGAGGACAUAUGACUCAUAAAAACAAUCGUGGGGAGGACCCACAACCAAUGGGAAUGGGAAGUCAAGGCACAACCAUAGAAACAAGUACUAGAACAACGAGGAUGUAGAAGAUGACGAGGUCAACACCGAAUUUAAUAAUCAACCCCCAUCUAGCGGUGGCAAGAAGAUGAAGGGGCUGUUUGGAUUGUGACUAUCUUUGCCAUAUCUUACCACAUUAUUUUUGCCACACUUGCCUUACUUGAGUUGCUCAAAUUGUCAGCCACACAUUGGCUUGCCUAAGAGAAUCUUGCCACACUUUUUGUGUCUAUGACAUGUGGGGUUUAGUACUCAUUAAAAAAUGCUUGCCUUAGGUGUGGCUAGAACCAAACACCCACCUAACUUGGUCAAACUUGCCUAAGGUAAGUUGUGGCAAAGUGUGGCAAGGCGUGGCUAGUAACCAAACAACCCCGAAGUUUUAAGGAAAGAAGGGUCAGGGCGGCAACUCAACCCGGGAUAAGAUCAUGGAUCGUACUUGCGACGUCACAAUACUAAGAAAGAGGAUGAUCCUCCAGCAACCCACACAAACUAGGACUGCUAGGUCCAUAAGAAAGUUGCGCAGUUCGGCAAAGGCAAUGCCGAUAGACGUGGCUGACUAGGAUCUAUAACCCUAGCCCCUUGAUAUGUUAUAUAGGGUAGGGGUUGGGUUCGCCGGUAGAACACAACACAAUCCUAGGUAGUCACAUGUACUUUUUACACACCCCAAUCGCAAUAUACACAAGUAGGAUUAGGGUACUACCUCGUUCGCGAGUGCUAGAACUUGGCUAAGGAUUGGACUCCUGUUAGCAUCCACCCUAAUUGACGAACUGCGAUACCCUAUCGAGGGAUCUUCCCUAAUUGUAUUUAACAAUAUUGAAAUUUUCUAAUCAUCUUAUAUUUAUGAACAAAAAAAGUAUAUGAUGGUGGACGCGAGGGAGGGACAAUACAAUUAAGUCAAGAGGCGGAGUUAGACAAUGUGGCCAAACACAAAAUAUGAAUGGGGGGUCAAAGGCUAUAUGUUUUCUAAUCUAAGGAUUCCCCAAGAACCACUCUUCUUGUUUUUCACCGAGGUCUGGGUUUAGCCCAUGGCCCCUAUAGUGCACAUAGCUUUGGCCCUGAUUAAGUCACAUGAUGUAGUGAAUGCAUUUGCUUUAUCCUCUCUAUUUUCCCUUUUGGCAAAUAAUUUUUUGUUUACCCCACUGAGGUGGCAUAUCAACCUAUGUUGGUCUAAUCUUUUUAGAUAUACUGAGAAUUUUUAGCAUGUGCUGUUUCAAGGUAAAAAUAUCCACACUUUGUCACGUAAUGAGUUUGCAACAUCUUGUAUGAUUAGAUCAUUCAAUGUGAUGGCAGUUUAUGGGUAAAUACUAUUGAUGUGAAAAUCCUUAAGAAUAUUUGAAAUAAUACUUCAUUGGUAUUGCCUUAGAGACCAAAAUAGCUUCUAAGUACCCCCUCUGUCCCCAUAUCAUAAGAUCGUUUUGCAAGCUGUUUUAGCUUGCAACAAUUUGCAAAAUGAUCUUAUAUUAUGGGACGGAGGGAGUAUUAUAUAAAAUUCCACACCAUCAAGUUUAAAUCUCUCUCAAUCACACGAAUAAACAAACAUAGCAAAAACCAUUAGAUUGACAACCAGGGCCGGUCCUGAGAUUUUUGAGGCCCGGGGCGAAAUUAAAUUUAGGGGCCCUUAACAUAAACUCAAACAAGUAUUGCAAACGAUAUUUUAAAUCGCUAAUCAAUGAAAAUAUCACAAAAAAAUUCUCUUAAUUAUAAGUCUCUUCUUUACUGAUAUGCGGAGUAGCAUUUUAUUAAGUUUAUCCCAAUUCUUUGAUCCUAAUCAGGUAUAGGAAAAACUGGUACCUGGUCAAGACUAAUGGAUGAUAAUGCAGAUGAUCACUAUGUUGUCAUCCAUUUAGAUGUCAGCUUGUAUUAUGUAUUGCUCUUACCUUGUGGAUUUGUUUAAUCGGCAAUAUCAAUUAUAGGCAAGUCGCCAAACAUACAUAUUAAUAACUGCAAUGACACCUAUCUCUAUUCGACACUCGUAAAUCGAUUAUUAGUGUCCAACUGCAAAAACGCAGAGGCCAUAUCGAUGAUCAUUCAUAAAUUUUAAGCAACCAUCAUGAUAAAAUUUCUUGUUGGGGACAGAUAUAGACACCAAAAUUUCCUAUUGCAACCAUUAUAGUUAUAGUAAUAGAGAUUAGAGACAUACCUUCUCUUCUAUAACUAUAAUGGUUCCCGUAUGAUCUAGCCUCCAUGCGAGUCAGUUUGCUCGCAUGAGACGCAGGGACUGAUUAUGUAGUUCAGUAUAGAGUUCAGCCACCUCAGGCUUAGAUCUCCUCCGACCCGAGGCAACACCAUGCACGCAUAGUAGAUGGAUAUCAAGCGUCGAUCUUGAUCUAUUCUUGCCCAUGGGUGGUAUAGUCGCUUCCCGUUAGUCAUGUUUUUCUCAGAAAUUGGCCACACAAUUUUCGGCUUGUGGAUUAAGGAAGGCAUUUUUCUACUGAAAGAAUAAGGAAAGAAAUUAAGAGCGGAUUUUUAUCAUAACUACGCCUAAUUAAUCAAAUGCAAUACCUGCUCUAUUAAUUAAUCACAAGCGCUCUCAAUCGUACUACUAACAUGAAGGAAGGAAGGCGAGGAACAUCAGGGAAAGGUUGUAGGAGUAGGACGCCAUUUUAUGGGCCAUGUUGCUUGGCCAAUUAAGAGAAGAGCUGGGGGGGCUCUUGGCACCUGGGGGCUCGGGGCAGCCGCCCCGCUCCCCCCCCCUCAGGGCCGGGCCUGUUGACAUCUCCCAAUAUUAGAAGGUGUCGCAUGCUGAUAUGUUUGACAACAUUUGCUAUUUUUUAAGAGGAUACACCAUUUCCUUUUUGGUUAGUAUUUACUAGAAGGAUUAAGCGCGCGUUUCUGCGUCUUUGGUGUUGUUGUGUUUUUACAAAAUAAAUUAUCCUAUUUGUUUUUAAAAUAUAGGUGUAAUAGAUUUUUUUUAAAGUCAAAGUGCUUCAAGUUUGAGCAAAUUUGUAGAGAACUAUAUUAAUAUUAAUAAUAUCAAGUUGCGAUCAUUAAAUUCAUCAUGAAAUAAAUUUUCAUAUUUUAUUUAUUUAGUAUUUUGGAUGCUCAUGACGAUAUUUUUUACUUCCGAACUUAGUCAAACUUAAAUAAAUUUGACUUAGAAAACACCUUAUAUCUUGGAACCGAGGGAGAAUUUGAUUUCGCUAGUGUGAGUGGCGAUGGCCUAGUUAUUUUAUUUUAUUUAUAAUGUGGUGUUUUGAUGGAUUUUUCAUGGUGUGAUUCUGUAUUAUGUGCUAAUCAGCCGAUAUUUACGUCAGAAAAUUUUCUGCGUCACUAUCUGCAUGUACUAUUUUGAUGUUUCAAUAAUAUAUUUUUAGGUGGCGAGGGAUGCACGGGAUUGAUGUUAUUAUAAAUCGAUUGCUAUCGAUUAAUUUUAAAAAUUCUUGACCAAGUCAAAAUCAUGAACCCAAUUACAAAUCAAAUACCUCAAUCGAAUCAAAAAGCUUCAAAAUUAAGGAGCAUAGCGAAUUAAAAGAAUUAAAAAGAGAUUGUUAAAAAAUUGUUGACCCAGUCAAAAUUGGAUGACCAAACUCCAAUUGGAGGCAUGAGUUGAUUGUGAGGCCUCCAAUCCUAUAAAGAUUAGUCAUAUAGUAUAUAUAUUGGCAGGGUUGGUGCAAUGGGGUUGUUGAUAGUCCUUUGUUAUUCAUUUUUUGUAUGUGUUCAAGACAUGCAUGGGUAAAUGAUAUAAAAUCUCAGCUAGGAAACAUAAUACCAAAUUGAAGUGGGUAUCUGAUUUGUUCAUUAGCUGGCGUAAGUGUUGGGACGAAAAUUUGAUUAAGCAUAUUUUCUACCCACAUGAUGCAGAGGAAAUCCUCAAGAUUCGCAUCCAAGCCUCUAAGGAUGAUGAUUUUGUUUUGUGGCACCAUGAAAAGAAUGGUAUUUUCUAUGUUAAAAGUGCGUACAAUUUUACGCUUAAAUUGAUUGAUAAUUGGGAUACUGUUGGACAAUCUAGUGGUGAACCAUAGGGGGUAAGGGGGAUUUGGAAGUUACUUUGGAAGGCUAAUAUCCCUCAGAAGAUCAUAACUUUUAUAUGGAAAUCUGCAACUAAUAGCUUGGCGGUCCAGAUGAAUAGAGUUAAGCACCAUUAGAUUGAGUCAGGUAUGUGUUUUAUUGUGGUGUAGAAAACAAAAGCACUUUUCAUGCUCUAGUAAAUUGCUCUAAGGCUCGGGCUGUGCGACUCGCACUAAGAGAGUUGUGGAACAUUUGAGAUGAGGAGCUCGGGUCCAAAGUGAUUAUUGAGUUUGUUGAAUGAGGUGAGCAUGGAGCAAUUAAAUUUUUUUUUGCAGCAUGCAUGGCAUUUGAGAAAUGAUUUAAUUAUUGGGAAGGGGAAAUAAUUCAUUAUUUCCUGUACUCGGUUUGUGGACAAUUAUUGGGGUAAGGAGAAGGUAAGGGGUGUUGUAGAUGUUUAUGCUCCGUUAAAAAACAUGUGGUGUGGACUCCUCCUCCUAUGGACCAUAUCAAGGACAAUGUUGAUGUCAGUUUUGUGGAGAGUACUAUUGUCGCGAGUGUGGGGGUUGUUGCUCGCAAUUUUUAUGGAGAAAUUAUUGUUUCUUCUAGGGAUUUUAUUGAUUGAUGUACCAAUGUGAAUGAAGCUGAGUUUCAAGCCUGCCUCACAGGACUUUAUAUAGGUAUCAUCCUUCACCAAUCUAUUAUUUUGAAGACUGACUAUGUGUUCGCACAUUUCUUUGUUGCCAAUGAGAAGCUUCAUAGGUUCUCGAUGGCUGAUCUGAUGAAUGAGGCUCUAAGCACUUAUCUUUGGAUUAAUUAAUAUAUGGGGUGUUUUUUUUAAAUGUGUGUUUUUGUUUGAGGUUGUAUGAAGCAGACUCGUUGGCACUGCAUUGUCACUUUGAACCCAUACACACCAUGGAUGUUCGUUUAAUUGCAGGUGUGUUGACAUGGGGAAGUGGAAGCGACUAGAGCAACUGAAAUCGUGCGACUCAUUUUGUUCGUGCGUGUUUGUUUGAAUCACCACACACAAAAAUUCGGCUUAAUGCGACGAUUCAAACGGACGUAUGUCCGUUUUUUCUCUGUCCGCGGCCUUUUCGAGGCCCAAAUUUGUGUCGCAUUUACGUCGGCGUGAACACUGGACGGACACGCGCGACGUCCGCCCUUCCUCCCUCCUGAGUCUUAGUCGGUGGCACACAUGCCAAUAUCCUUUUUCUCCCAUAGCCUUCGACUCACUAUGCCUCCCCACCUCCCAUCGCCGCUGCCCAGUUCCGUCGAUGUAGCCAGACAUCCAUCCAUAGAAAAGUCACACUCCCAGCGGCGUCAUCUGCCGCCGCCGCCUCCCAGUUCCUACCUUGUCUUGGUGGGGCUCGAGGCUCUUCACCGACGGGCUUCUUCCAGGAUCCCUGCAAGUUGUUUGUAGAUUUCCCUGCAAGGUACAAAUGGAUUCUGACGAUGAGUUCUUUUUCUACAACAUUCUUUGCGAUUUGGAUGAUUCUUCGUCUGAUGAGGAGGAGAUCGUGGAAGCUGCAUUGGCAGUCCAUGACCACCUAAGAAGGCAACGACCAUUGUUUAGGGGCUCGAUAUCGGGGCAGACGCCAACGUUGAAUCGUAACCGGGAGAGUGGUCAUUUCCUACUCUGGAACAACUACUUUGAGAACCCCGACCCUCUCUUGAAACAUCACAUGUUCCGGCGUUGUUUUCGUAUGACUAGGCAUGUGUUCAACCAUAUUCAGGAGGGAUGGUGAGCCACGGUAACUAUUUCGAGUGCAAGAUGGAUGCCCUUGGAAAAAUUGAUUUCUCCUCUUAUCAUAAAUGCACUUCUGCUAUUUGGAUGCUUGCAUACGGAGUUUUCGAUGAUCUAAAUGAUGAGUAUGUCUCGAUGAGUGAGUCCACCUGCCUUGAGUCCAUAUAUAAGAUCUGUAGGACUGUCAUAGUUGUGCUUGGGCUAGAUUACUUGGGAGAACCAAAUGGUGCUGAUACAACACGGUUGUUGGCGAUGAAUGCCAACAUGGGGUUCAGACGAUGGUUGGUAGCAUAGAUUGCAUGACUGGAAGUGGAAAAACUACAUGAGCAUGGAGGAGCGGCAACGUUUGCACAGUUUACCGAGUUUCAUCAUCACAUGUGUUAUUGGAAAACUUUCAUGCAGCUGCAAAAUAAUUUGGUUAAGCAUACGAUCACCUUUUCUUUUAAAUGCAUUUGAAACAAUUUAAUAUUUAUUUCGCUCGUAAAUCAUGAGAUAUUUGUGUGAUUUUUGAACUGUGUAAUAUUUAUAUUCUUAUUGAACUAUCUACUAUCAAAUUUUAUACAUAUAUGACAAAACGAUCAAAAAAUGGCCGCAAGCUAGCCAUGUGGAGGAAAAAAGGGUCGACACGUUGGACGCAUUGUCGACCUAAACAAAACAGAGGCAAACAUGUCGAUCCAAACGGAGAAAAAACAAAAAAAAUCCGCAUUUGUUUGGGUCACCUGGUAGGAGUUGCUGUUAAAUCACGAGCUCUAAUCCUCUAGAACCACAAAUAAUAGGUUGGACCGUGGUGCCGCGAAAGCAUGGACCACCGCAGCUAGCAUGAUUUGACAGCCAGUGCCAACUGAAGCAUUUUGUCAUGAUGGAUCAUGCUUACUUUGACCGUGAUAGAAUGGGCUAAGAAAAGGGACGACCCUACGCGUCGGUCGACGGUUUUUUCUAAAAGGUAUGUCCCUUUGACAAUGGUUUGUGACGAAUCUUUUUAAAAGAUUCGUCCUUUUGACAAUGGUUUGAUCUAGCAUCCAACAAUACCUAUCUCUCCUUACCAUUGCAACAAAGACAUUGAUGUAGAAUCCUUCUAUGUAACAAAUCAUAUGUUGUAGAAACAUUUGUAACAUAGAUUCUGUUACGAAAUUAUUACCUUUUCGUUUUAACUUUUUUGUGACAUGGUUGUUGUUGCGGAAAGACUUCUGUAACACAGAUGAUGUUGCAGAUUAUUGUUUGGUCUUAACUUUUUUAUAACUUGGAUGUUGCUGCGAAAAGACUUAUACAACCCAAAUUAUGUUGCAGAAAAAUUAUUAAGGUGGAAGAGGCACGUGUCGUCCGUGAAUUGAGUUGGGAGAAUUGGUGCCGUGACUCACGAUCCAAUCUAGGCGGAAGACUCGAAAGUUUCACAACAUUUAUCAUGUUGCAAUCAAGUGGUUUGCAACACCUAUUGUAUUACAUUAAUAUGUAUGUUGUGACGGUCUGAUGAAAUUUGAAUCUGACGGCUGCACAAGUCGUAUUCGAUUGGUUGAUUCUAAUCAUUUCCCUAAAAAAGGCCCGUAACACGAAACAAUGUGAAGCAAACAAGACAGUCUACAAUCAGUGCCCACAAAGCAUUUUUGCCACGUCGUAUGAUUGAUGGGUCCCACCUCUAACGGAACAUUCCAAAUGAACAUCCACAACACAAAAGCAAUGUUAAGCAACCUCACAUGUCUACAUUUCUUAGCCCCGUAGAGUAUGUUUUACAAAACCACCCCUAAUUAGGUAGGUCGUUGCGCAUAACAAAAAUGAAUUCUUAAAUUUUAAGAAUUCAUUUUUGUUAUGCGCAACGACCUACCUAAUCAUAAAUAGUUUGCUGAGAUGGACGGCCAAUGUUUCAUAAUUUUUUGGCAAACCGUUUAAUCAAGAUUUGUUUUCAGCUCACGAUGGUUGGAUCCUUCGGGCGCUGGUUGUGGUUUCUUUAUUCCGUGGGGGUUUCUGUAUCACUGGUCAUUUUCAAUGUAGUCUGGGGUCAUUUCCGCAAAAAAAAGAAUCAACUUUCAAGUUUAUCGAAAUUGCUACAAUCGGACUGAAUAGUGUUGGCUUUUAGUUUAAUACUCCCUCCAUCCCAAAAUUUUUGACUUAGAUUUGUCUAUAUAUAAAUGCAUCUAAUCACGUUUUAGUAUUUAGAUUCUUCCGUUCCUAAACAAAGCUAAGGCAAAAAAUUUGAAACGGAAAGAGUAUUAGUGAAUGGGGUUGCAAACAAUAUUUGUAAUGAACAAUCCUAUAGCCACUUGUUAUAUUCUUUCCAUUUCUGCAUUAAAAUAUUGCAUACAUACCAAAAGUUGAACUGAUGGUUAUAAAUAAUCUUCGCUUUGAAUGCUACGAUGAGUCUAGAUUAGGGAUGGCACCCGCGGGGUUUGUAUACGGGUGUAGCCGCCUCAUACCUUUAGUCGUCCUUUCUGAGCUUACUCAUCAUCCUUAUCCAUAUCCGUUAAUAGGUAUAAUUUUUCGUUAUAUUAGGAUAGACGGGUAUCUGUAGAUAAAUUUAUCCAUGUUUGCAAAGUAUCAAAUUGAGCAACUCAUGGUCAUAAACAACAACAUAUAAUCAUAAUCUAUAACAACUGAUUACAACAAAAACACAUAUUUAAUAAAGAACAUCACUUUCUCGUGAACAACAACACAACAAAACAACAUCACAAAUUCACUACAAAGUGUUUGCUAUAGAGAUCAUUUGAGUUCACAUAGAUUUUACAUGGAUACAUAGGUAUAUGGGUAUGCGUUAUAAUCUCAUACGCGUAUCCACUCUAUUCGAUGUUUCAGAUUUUAUUUAUUUAUAUAACCAUGUGUAACUUUUUUAUCAUAUUCUUACUCUCGUAUGGUUUUUUACCCACAUGAUGUAUGAGUAAGAGUAAUGCAUAUCCAUUGCCAACCCUAAUUAAUCCUACUAGUACUUGCGGUGAGUGGGUCCGACCCUAGAAGGUGCCAAAAAUGAAUGAGGAAACGAUUGUUGUGAGCUUGCUGACGUAUUUCUACCUUUCCUCCGUCAUUUUCUUUUUAUCUGCCCUCCGUCACCUUCUGACUUCUAGUAGAAGGGGUCAAAGCUCAAACUCAAGUCAUAAUAUCCGUUGGCUGUCUCCAACCGUAAAAAGAGCAACCGUCCAAGGGCGCCAUGAACACGCGGUUCCAAAGAAAAAGUUUCAGUUAAAGUUUUUCUCGCGGAGCGAGCGGGAAGAAGAGGCCAAGCGCCCAACCCUCUCGAAGUCCGGAUCCUUAGCUGUUAAGCAGAGCAGUGCAGUGCUUCCCUAAGUCGGUUUCGCUUCGCUUGACGCUCCCUUUAUUUAUUGCACUUUCAUGAUGAAGCCCGAUUUGCCUCCGCUGCACUGGUUUAAUGGCUGCUUAUUUAGACUAAUAUAAGCGAUUGCUGGCUUAAUCCGAGUUUGCUUCUUCUUCCGCGGUGCCUUGGUUGAUCGCGUCGAGGUUUUGAGGAACGGGGAGUAUAAAUUGCACCCGACAUGCUUCCCCUGCAAAACCUGAUGUGUGUGUCUGAACGCGUGCGAACCUCCGGAGCAAUGCUGNNNNNNNNNNNNNNNNNNNNNNNNNNNNNNNNNNNNNNNNNNNNNNNNNACAUGGACUACUCCAAGAUCCUCGCGGAGCCGGAGCCGAGCAACGUGAUGGGCCGGCUCCUGGGCAGCGACGGGAACGGACGGUUCCUGGGGUCGUGGAGCAUCGGAACGUCGCCGACGUCGUCUGCGUCGAGCACGUCGCUCGCCGGGGCCGGACCCGCCUCCGCUCCUCUGUUUCAUUGCGGUAGCGGCUUGAAGCAGAGCAGUGAGAGCUCUUCGCAUAGGGGUUACUAGCCAAGCCAAAGGUUAUCAACCUCAUUCCUGCCUCAUAAUAAACGAGCAAAAGGAGAAGACCGACGAAAUUCCCGCCUUUCGGAGCGCGUCGUACUACCGCAGAUCGUGAUGGUGGUUGGGGGCCCGGCGAAGGUCACUUUCUUGGACGGGGAUUAAGACGAGCCAGGGCCGAGAGAUGUGGAACUUUGGGUUCAAUUGCGUUCAUCAGGAAGCAACUAAGGACGAAGGUUUAGAUUUUCUUUUAGUAAAAACAUUCUUCUAGUGCCAUGCAGGUUCUUGGUUUCUAUUGAGGUCAUUUCCUAAACUGAAGCUCUCUAACUCAGGUAGCUGGCAAUGUUACUAGAGCUAGAUAGUAUUCAUUUUAAAUUUACUUGCAGGAGGAAAUAAAUCAUCUGUAAUGAAUAAGAUGCAUUAGUUAUCCAUUUAUUCAUAAUGACUUGUUGUGUAGAAAUGUGUUGUAUGGGCUAAGACCCUGUUUUUUGACUUUUGCUUAUGCUUUUCCAGCUUCUCCACUUUGACCAAAAAGCCAUAAAAUCUUAAAAUCUCAUAAGUAGGUGAUUUUGGAGCUUCUAUGGUUUUUGGAACCAAAUAUUGUUAUAUUAAUUUAUCAAAAGUCAUGAAAGCUCCAAAAGCAUCUAUUUUAGGAGCUUUUAUGGCUUUUUAGUCAAAGUGAAAAAGCUAAAAAACAGAAGUAAAAGCCCAAACAAACAGGGUCUAAGACUAUACUUUUCUUAGCUUAGCUUUUCAUUUUCCGUUCGGUCUCGCUUGUGAUAUCAAAUCCCAUAGGAAAUGUGUGACAUUUGGGAUAUUUUCAUGAAGAAUGAUCAACUAAUUUGAUUAAAUUUUACGAAAAGAAUUGGGCCAUUGUAGCAUGUGGAUAUUCAUGGCUAUUGGCCUAGUCCUUGAAAUUAAUUAAAGAAUUUAAUUAAAUUUCACAAAAUGUCAUGGGCUAUUGGUCUUGCUAACAUGUGUGACACACCAUAAGCGGCUACCCUAAGACCACUCACAAUAAGACGUCUCUUUACACUUCUCUUACUCCAUGGUAAGUGUUUACAUAAAACCAUCCCAAUAAAUUUUACAUGAUUGAUAUUUAUGAUGCUUGGCACAACGAUUAACUGAGUCUAAUUAAGUGAUAUUAAGACUUAUUGCAUACGAUUGUGUGUAGAGACGAUACCUAAAACAAGAAAUCGCUUCAUUUUCUCAUUAAUUACACAUCACAUUGACAUAAAUCUAACAUUAAGGGAUAAGACAUGGCGCGUAUGUGAAGCAGCAUGAGCGGUCUAAGAGGCUAAAGGGCAACUUUGAUCAAUUUGAUAAUGUGCCACAUCUUCCAUACUUCAAUAUGUACUACAACACAUGGGAUUGAUAUAUAUGGAUGAGUAGGCCCAAUACUCCUACAGGUUUCUCUAGGGGAUCAUAUAUCUGUGGCCCCAAAAUCCUUUUGGAGCGCACUAAUAAAAUGGAGGUUGUUGCGGGUACUCACAAAUUCGUAUUCAUCAUAUCCUAGCAUACAGAAAAUAUAUGGGAAGGGAUUUAGGGCACGCAAGUGCAAUGACAUGCAGUUUGCGGGCCAUUGAUCUGUAUCAAGAUCCGGAAAUUUGGGUUUGAAUUUCUUGUAUUUGCUAGUGUAUAUCACUCGUCAUAUACGUAUAUUCGCAUUGUAAAGCUAAACUAUUAUAUCUUUCUUGUGCGUCCCAUUUCUAACAUACACAUAUUUUAAUGAACAGUUCCUGUAACAGGUGGCUACAAAACGUUACGGUUGUGCUUAAAGUGUUCUUACGUUCUUCUAUCUCAUUAUUCUCUUGAAGUACAUUCUCCUUCUUUUGUUAGAAUACUUUCUUAGAACUAUUCUAGAAGAACCAUCACUGUAGAAGAGAACGGAUUGAAGCUAUUUACUGUGAAAUAGACACAAUCGAGAACAACUAAAAG
rnacentral:lncRNA from 1 species